GGCAGCCAGUCUCUCUCCGAGUGUUGUCGGGGCAGUGUCGAUUUUUUGCGUUGAUGAUCACUCAUUAGUGGUCAAGAUGAAGCAAGACUGCCGAUACCUUGCCCCGAGUCGCUUCCCAGCAGAUGAGGAGGUAAGAAAGCACGUGUUGCGAUGAGGAGACGUGGCUGUCCUUCCUCGCCCUCUUUCGCGUCCCCAAAGUCAACCUCAUCCCUCUGCUCGGGAAGGCCUCACGUCAACAUGCAUCUUUGACUCCAUUAGGAAACUCCUCAAGCUAAUUUGCACGUGGGAUAGCAGAGCCCUUCCUCAUUAGCAAGGAUACGAACAGAAAAACACCUUCAUUACGCCACUUAGAGCAAGUAUUUAGUGAACAGACGCACGGAUGGAAUUGUGGAGUCGACUUCAAUGAAACUGUACUGCUAAUCAAGAGUAACAUCAACAUAAUGUUAUAUUUAUACGAUAGUCCUUUCAAAUUUCUAAGAACUGAUGUUAACUGGUGUAUAUGUUCAUGACGAAGUGUUUGUCUUUGUGUUUCCGUCGCACCUUGCAAAUAUUUGAAAAGGAGUACGUAUGUGAAGAAACUGAUCAUUGCAGGAAGCUCAAAAUAUUGCAUUAACUAGUAAUCUGUGACUAAAUAAUGCACAGACGUUGCUAUUGAUUUGCUUUAUGAUGUUUAAAAAUUAAGUUGGUUAUUGAUUUUCUUUAAAUAUCAAAUUAAACUCUGUUGCUCUCUUGAAAGAUUCCCGUGGCACCGCAGUUUCGUCACUUCAGGAGGAACUGAAGUACAAGUACAUUAACUGGAACCUCUUUCUGGUACUGAUUUAUAGGCAUCUGUUUUACUUGUAUCUUGCAGAAUCAUAAAUUAUAUCUGUACUAAUUUGCC
rnacentral:misc_RNA from 1 species